GAAAGUAUCAAUGUCCAAUGCCU
rnacentral:siRNA from 1 species